AGGUGGACGCUGUGUCUGGGGCCGGGUCUCAGAGGAGGAGCCACCAAGGAGGCUCUGAACUCAGGGAAGGAAGAGCACUAGAUGUUGAUGUUCUGAAACCCAGAGGUUGUUGUGCAAAAACUGAACUGAGAAGCAGCACGAGGAGGGAAUAAGGAGGAAGAGAAGGGAGCACCUUGACUGUGCACCCAGCAGCCUCUCUGGCGCUUGGCUGAUUGUCCCAUCAGAGGACCCCUGUAAGAGAAAAACCACAGUGCCUCCAGGGAACUGAGAGUCUGCAGUCCCUGCAGUUGAAACAUG